UACGUAGGGGGCAAGCGUUGUCCGGAAUCAUUGGGCGUAAAGAGCGUGUAGGCGGCCCGAUAAGUCCGCCGUGAAAGUCCAGGGCUCAACCCUGGAAUGCCGGUGGAAACUGUCGGGCUGGAGUCCGGAAGAGGCGAGUGGAAUUCCUGGUGUAGCGGUGAAAUGCGCAGAUAUCAGGAGGAACACCAAUGGCGAAGGCAGCUCGCUGGGACGGGACUGACGCUGAGACGCGAAAGCGUGGGGAGCGAACAGG
rnacentral:rRNA from 1 species